UUGGAAGGUUCUUUAUUCUUGUGGGAAUUUGUGUUACAUGCGCCAUCAUUGCUUCAUUAACUGGACUCUACAUCAUGCACAAAAAAGUCAUAAAGCUUCGAAACCUUUGCUGUAAACCUGAUACACAACAGCCUAACGAUCCUGAUGAAUUGCAGCACUACGCCACGUGUGGGCCAGGAGCCAUCUACAACUCUCUGUGGACCCCUUCAGUGCUUGAAACACAUGAUCACACACACACAUACGAAAGUAUCUCAACAAAAUUUCAAUAAAAGCAGAUUUGUUUAUGCAUACUGAAAUGUGUAGAGGUUUGUACUCAGCAAAGGUACUUCAUGCAGACUCAGUGCACACCUACUCUUUGGGUAAAAUUGAGAUAAAAUUGAGCAUCCUCCAACAUAC